rnacentral:lncRNA from 1 species
CUCUGACUCCCAUCAGACUGAGACCCCACUGGACCCAGUGGAAAGUCACCCUCCUGCAAAAGGUAGGAAACAGGAAACAUUUUGUAUGUGUGUGUCUCUGUAUGUAUAUGUGUGUGUAUGUAUCUGUAUGUGUAUGUCUGUCGGGGGUGUAUGUGUGUCUCUGUAUGUGUGUAGUGUAUAUGUGUGUCUGUAUGUAUGUGUCGGGGGGGCCCACGGAUCGGUUUUGCACCAGGGCCCCAUGGAUUGUGUGUACGCCACUGUAGAGUAGUGUUAAAGUUAAUGUUAGAGUAGGGUUAUGGUUAACUGUAUGGUUAGGGUCAGUGUUAAUUAUCUCUAUGGGCUACAUUUUCACUUCACAAACUGACAAUUGAUAUUAUUUGUUAUUUUCAUUCUCCACCUUAGGUAGAGAAAUCAAACACACUGUGGUCAUGGCUGAUACUUCUCAAAUUCGGGUCACACUCCUCUAGAGGGUAUAAGUCCACUAAAGUCUUCUAAGAUGUACGUUCCUUGUUUAAUAUUGUUAAAGCAGCUGACUGGUCCACAGAAUCAACAUUUGAAACAUUUUAUUUUAAACCUGUUUCCCUUGUUUCUAUGGUUAUAUAAUAAUGUAAUUAUGUAUGUAGAUUAUUCUAGCUUUAGUGUACCAAUAAUCUUAUUUUCUAAAAUGACAGGAGACAGAUGUUUUGCUUGUCUUUCUUUACUGAACUCCAUAGCAGCAUUCGUUUUUGUACUUAGAAACAACAUAACCAAUCAAAAAACAAAGUCACGGAUAUAAGGUGUUGCCAGUAUAAGUCUUCCUCUUUCUUUUAUGUGAGGAAACUAACAGGAAAAGUUCCAGAGGAGAAAAUAAACACUCCCAAAAAGAACAAAUUCCAAAUAUUGUCCUAAAUGUGAAGAAAAUGUAACAACAUAGAAUGCAAGAAGCCAAAACUCUGCAUCCUCAUUCAAAACAAGAUAAUGAAAAAUUUACAAUGAAAAAAUAAAAUAAACAGUAAAAGAAGAUAAAUCAUGGGUCUGUUGAAAUUGUAAUAAAAAUGUCUGAACAUACAUAGAUAAAGUGUAAAACGGUACAAAAAAAACGGCCCAAACUUAUAAACAUAGUCUAAACAAAGAUAUUCAUAUGAAUAAAUAAAGCAUGACAAAAAAAUAUAAAAUGAGAUACAGAAUAUCAAAAAAAUUGUGAAAAAAGGAAAGGUAGGGAAAUAUUUGCCUCCUUUCAUUAUUUAAAAUUUAGAUUACUGAUAUAUUUAAGCCAGCAUAAUUACUAGAUUUUACUAAUUACAUGACGUAAAGUCAUGAUUUUAUAAAGGACACAGAGGCGAGUAUUAGGCUUAAGGGUUAACCAUAUAAUAUUCCAAACAUAUUAACCAAUGGGAUCAAUCCUUGUUCUAUGUCCCCUCAUGUGACUUAAUCCACUUCCUCUUUCUAGCUGACACCGAAGCUGAGCAUAUCAACGGGUAAAACGAUUAACUUGAACUGUCUCAGGUAGAGGGUUCCAGUGAGUCUGUUCUGGUAUAGAUAGGAAGGAGAGGGUGAUCCUGAAUAUUCCAUUACAGGGUUAAGCUGUAGGAGACAGAGAGAUAAGUGGUAAAAUAUAUUCAAAUAUCGUUGUCAUACAUAUAAACUGUGCAAGUUUUUAAAGAAGUGUUAUAUCUUAACUCAUAUUUUUAUUUGGAUCCAGCAAAAAAAAUCAAACCCAAAUCAUUAUUAGUAUAUAGUACAUCACUUGAACAUCUAACUUGCUACUACCUGUUUAUCGGUAAUUGGGUGGGAAAAAUAACAUGUACGACUUACCUGUCAUUGGGCGGGCUAAUACUCGCCUCCGUGUCCUUUAUAAAAUCAUGACUUUAUGUCAUGUAAUUAGUAAAAUCUGGUAAUUUUAUUAAAGGACACAGAGGCUCACAUUACUCUAGUUUAAAGCUGUGAUAUAACCAUAGAUGAGAUAUUUUCUGUUGGCCAGAAGUAGUAUUCUUUGAACGUCGAUUCCCGGGACCAAUCAGCUGUGGGAAGAAGGUCUUCCAAUUUACAGCCAAUGGAGAAUGCCUUAGAGGCCAUAGCGCCUCUCGUGGAGUGAGCUCCGUAAACUGAUGUGUCGAUGUUAGCAGCUGACAUUAUCCAUUUUACCCAGCAUGCCAGAGUUACUGUGGAUAUUGGGUGAUGAGGUUUUCUCACCGCCAAGAACAGGUCGUGUGUUGUUGGGUUCCGGAAUGCCUGUGUCCGCCUUUCGUAUUCCUGGAGGCAUGCCACCGGGCAGAGGUUAGCAUUGUGAGGAAAGGAGGGAUAGAAGACUGACGUGAUUUUUGAUUUCGUACGUCUGGUAGUAGUAAACAGGACACCUUGCGGGGUGAAGGACCGUGUAUCGAUAUCCAGUGCUCGAACGUCUGACACCAUUUUGCAGGAGAUUAAGCACAGGAGCAUAGCUAAUUUUGCAGACACUUGUUUGAGUGUGAGAUCUGUGUUUGGAGGCCAGUCUUACAGUAAACGAAGGACCAUAUUAACAUCCCAUAAGGCCGUGUAGUGGGGUUGAGGUGGACGUGCAAAUUUUAUGCCUCGUCGAAGACGACAGACCAAUAAGUGUUUCCCAGCUGGGAAACCUUCCCAUCCGUUGUGGGCUGCUGAAAUUUUUUAUCUAUACACAUUUAUGGUGCGAUAGGCCAAGCCUUGAUCAUACAGGGUAGUAAGUAAACGGUACCUGGUUUAUAGAAGCACGUAGGGGAUCCACGUGUCGUUCCAGGCAUCAACUACACCAUGCAUUCCAGACAUGAGUAUAGGAUCGUUUUGUUCCUGGGGCCCAAGCUUCUGCCAAUAAGUCCAGAGUUGUUUGUGAAAUGCUUGGCAUUGUCCAGGGUCCCCAUAGAGGAGCCACGCCAGGAGUCUGAGGUGGCCUUGCACCAGAAGCGGGUGAGGGUUCCCAUCGGGGUCUGAUAAUAGUUCUGUGAAUCCUGGAAUCAAUCUGGGGAGGUCGAUAGACAUUUCCAUGACUGAAGGGAACGAAGGUGGUGCCGUCCAGAAUGGUGUUGUUAACACCAACGAUGUUUGGGAGCGUUGCAGGUGUAGGAGAGUUUGUGUUAUGAGUGAGAACGGGGUGAAAGCAUAUAGUCGGUUGCUUGACCAGUGUUGUAGGAAGGCAUCCACUACCAUGGCGUCUGGGUCCGGUCUCCAGCUGAAGAAUGAGGGAAGUUGAGCGUUCAGCUGGGAGGCAAAGAGGUUGAUGUGCAUCGGCCCCAGAGUUGCUGGAGUUUCUGGAAUAUCGUGUGAUUUAGUCGCCAGGUGCUGUUGUCUUGUAAAUGUCUGGAGUUCCAAUCUGCUACGGUGUUGGAGAGUCCCGGAAGGUAUUCUGCCUGUACUGAUAUAUUGCGGCUCAGACAGAAGUGCCAAAAUUCUUUUGCUAGGUCUGUGAGUAUUGACGAUCUCGUGCCACCCAAGUGGUUGAUGUAGCGAAUGGCCGAAAUAUUGUCCAUACGAAGAAGUAUGGAACAAUUGGUUGUGUGUCCGAGGAGGCUCCAGAGGGCAAAUGACCCAGCUAUGAGUUCUAGACUGUUGAUGUGAAGUUCCUUUUCUUUUGAGGACCAUUUUCCACCUGUAGAGGUGGGACCACAACGAGCGCCCCAUCCGAGUCUGCUCGCGUCGGAUUCUAUGAUGAGAUCCGGGGUGGUUCCGAAGAUCGCCUUGCCAUUCCAUGCUUCCAUGUGUUGAAGCCACCAUGUUAGUUCCUCUUUUGCUGUGCAGUCUAGCAGGACAGAAUCUGAGUAAGAUUGACCCGAACGUAGGUGGGUGGCUUUGAGCUGUUGCAGGGCUCUGUAGUGGAUAGGUCCUGGGAAGAUCGCUUGUAUGGAAGCGCAGAGCAGGCCAAUUAUCCUGGAUAGUUGCCGUAAGGUCAGGACUGGUCGUGACAAAGUCUGUCGGAUUUCCUUCUUGAUGAGUUUUACCUUUGUGGUUGGUAGACUGAGCGUUCCGUGAAUUGCAUCUAUAUUGAAGCCCAGAAACUCUAUUCAUAGGGAAGGUUGCAGGAUUGACUUGUCCCAGUUGAUUAGGAAACCCAGGUUUUGCAGCAGGAUCAACGCCCAGGAUAGAUGUUGGUUCAGUAGAUGGGUGUCAUGAGCCAUGAUCAGCAUGUCGUCGAGGUUUAUGAUCACACAUACAUCUCUGCUGCGGAGAAGGGUGACUACCGGUUUCAGCAAUUUGGUGAAGCACCACAGGGCUGAGGACAGGCCGAAAGGGAGGCAUCGGAAACGCCACAUCGUCUUUUCCCAUUGGAAUUUAAUUAAGUGGUGGCAUUCCUCUGCAAUCGGUAUCAUGAGGUAUGCAUCCUGGAGGUCCAGUUUUACCAUCCAGUCUCCCAGUCUGAGGAGGUCCCGAAGGCAGUGUAUCCCUUCCAUCUUGAAGUGAUGGUAUGUGACAAAGGCGUUGAGCAGUCGCAGGUGUAUUACUGAUCUCACGCCUCCACCUUUCUUGGGCACUAAGAAGAUAUUGCUUAGGAAACAGGGGGCGGUAGCUGAGACUUUGUAGAUCGCACCUUUCAUUUCUAGUGCACGAAUCUCGUCUGCUACCAGGUUUUUGUCUCGUGGGGAAAAAACAAUCCAAUGUGGUAAUGAGAAUUGAAUCGGUUGUUGUGUGAAUUCGAUGUGGUAACCUAGAAUAGUCUCUAGGACCCAGACAUCUGAGGUUAGUUUGUGCCAGGCAUCGUGGAAAUGAAACAGUCUGCCCCCCACAUGUAAUAAGGAACGGGUGUGUAAAAGAAAAUGACUCAUCAUAAGGCCGACGGCCAUAGGAGGAUCCCCUGAUUCCACGUGGGUGCCACGACCUGCCCCUGGUUGGGAAAAAUGGUGGCUGUGUACUGCAUUCAGGAGGCUGGAAUUGUGUUGGGGCGGAGCCUCGAAAGGCCCGGUAUGAAGUCCGGGGGGAGCGGCUGGACAGACGGCCACUCUGUCUGCCGGCCCCACCAAAAACCCUCUGCGAGAACACACGCUUCAUAUUAUUUUGUCUAGUGCCGUGAAAGUGCUGACAUAGUUUCCCAGGGUUUUUACAAAGUCGUCUCCGAAUAGGAGACCUUUUGCUUGUAUGCCAGGCAUGUGUAUUAGUUUUGGUUCAAUCUUCAUCAGUAUGGCUUUACGCCGUUCCGUAGCCAAAGCGGUAUUGGCGUUUCAAAUUAGGCAAAUGCCUCUCUGGAUCCAUCCCUUGAUGGCCAGUAAGUCAACUGAGGUCCUCUCAGUAAGAGCAGUUUCGAAGGGCAUUCCGCCCUUAGCUUACUCCUUGUGGCCUUAUCAAGGGGUUUUCUUACCCUGGUCGCUAUGUAAAUGGCCACAUGAGUUAUGGGGUACCAGUCCGCUGAGCGCGGAUUGUGCAGGGUAUUCGAAUCAAAGAGGGGUUCCCCUUGGGGAUUUAAAACUGCGGAUUUGUCCGCCUUUUGAUCAGAGUCUAUCGCUGGGAGUGCUGUCUCGCUACGUUCAGGGGACAAGUUGUCUGAGUCAACCGGGUCGAUGGCAUCGGACCCAUCUGACACCUCCUCUGAGUCCGAAUCGGAGUCAGACAAAUCAGGUAGGGCUUUUGCCCUCUUCCAAUUCCGCAACGAUUUUGCCCGGCAGGGAGCUCUUUUAUGUGGGAGCACCACGUCCUCAGUUUCAACAGGGCGCAACCUGUCCGUCACACUGGUUUUAGAGGCAGCACCUGUUAGAUGGUGCGAUUUGCAUGUAGCCUUGCGGCCGCUAGGGACCAUCGGCUUACUAUCAGAGGUUAUAGGGGCUGAGCUGGGGGUUCUGCCAGAUGCCAUGAUAGCGGAGGAGAUAGUGUGUGAAAGGGUGUCAGACAUUGCUCCCAUGUGUCACUGACUUGCUCAUUGUAGAAUCCAGGAGUGCCUGGAACUCCUCUAAAUUCGCGUGGUCCUGGGAUGCUUCCUCCCCACUCCCAAUGGCCGCAAUGCCUAUAGGCAGGGCUGUUGUAUUACGACUGGUAGGUUUUGCAGAGGUGGGGGAGCAAUAGCUUGUUUGUCAGCAGGGGACUGCAUACUGGUCAGGAUGCACUACAAAGGGAGAACUGGGGGAAGCACUUAGCAGUAUUGGACUAAUGGAAUAUGGCACAGGGAAAACAAAUACCCUUACAGUGGGUUAUGACCCAGAGGAUAACUGUAAGUGGUGAAAAAAAAAAACAACUCACUUUGAAUAGUGUUAAAGCACUUUAGGACAAGGGCACAUUAACGAGGCACAAAUAAGAUAUUGACACAAAUAAUAUGGCAGCUUACCGAGUGUUCCCUCAGGAAUUACUCCUGGGGGACACUGGUAAGCUGCCCAACACCUCUAUUAGCCAAUCAGCUCGCGCCCCUCCCAAAACGAGCGGCGCGAGCGACGGGUAAUAGCGCGGCAAAUUUGCCAACCCCAAAAUGGCCGCUGUGAUGCGUGGGAGAGAACCGCGCAUGCGCGAGCAGUCUAGGUGGCAGGUAAGUUAAUGGCCACGUUCCAUUGAGCGGCUAAAUUAUGAGCCGGUGAGGUGUGGGCGGGUAGGGGGAGGGAGGGGCACCUCGGGGGGCCGUCCCAUACACUGUGGGGAAAGGAAGAAAAACGGGUUAUAAACAACCCGGACUGCAGUGCAGGAUAGGGGCUUGUCCCAGGGAAGGGACAAGUACCCUGCACUAAGGGGGAAAGAAACACAGACAAACAAAGCACUGGUAGUAGAUAUAUACAGUAGAGUGUAAAGAAAAAACACUAACCAAAAAAAUAAUGAAAUAAUAAGGUAUUAACAGGAAGAAAACACAGUAAAUACUACAAAUUUUUCAGAGCAUGAAAAAAUAUGAGGUACUUAGCUGAGGCAGCAGCAAAGAAAGAGGAAGUGGAUUAGGUCACAUGAGGGGACAUAGAACAAGGAUUGAUCCCAUUGGUUAAUAUGUUUGGAAUGUUAUAUGGUUAACCCGUAGGGGUAUUUUGUGUUUUUCUUGUUAUUGUUAUGUUAAAAUAUCAAUAUCCUUUCUUUGCUGCUGAGGAAUAAAGAAAGAGAUAAAGCCUAAUGUGAGCCUCCGUGUCCUUUAAUAAAAUUAUAAUUUUAUUACAUAACAGGAAGCUUAAUAUUUGACCUUUUUACAGCUCAGGAAGUAGCAAAAAAGAAGCAUGUGGAGCAGAACGGAAGUAAAUCACCUUGAAAAAGUGCCCUCUCUUGACCAGAGCAGUGGACAUUCCAGAGGAAAAAGCAAUCAAAGCCAUGGCAAUUCAAACUGAAUGCCGAAUGAAGACCCAUGCCUGUCAAAGACAAAAACCACCUGAUCCAGAAAGUGAUGUCUAAAACUGUACCAUUUCCAAUGAUACUCUAGUUCUCUGCUCCAGCCAUGUUUAAAGUCAGUUGAUGUACUGCACAACAGGUACAUUACCAAUACACUGGAGAACGCAACAAUCUGUUGAAUCUCUUGCUAGACGGGGAAUGGCAAAAGACCAUGCAAAGAGCUCCAAGCAAUUAAUGUGGCUUCUGAUUCCACCAUACUGCUCUAGAAGCUCCAUCCAUGGAGGAAGUGCCCAAGUCCCAAAGGCUGGUGUCGAAUUCCAGAAUAAGAUCCAGAGUGGAACCAUAAAUGGCUCUGUCAAUUUAGGUAUUAAUAUGAAGUAAUCACCAAUGGAGUUUCAUCCUCACUAAUCUCGUCAGAGAUUCCAUCAGAAUGUAUGACAGAAAAAGCUGUCUGAGUGUUUGGAUUUUAAUUGCUGCAUUACUCUGUAAUGGAAAACCCAGAAAGAUUGCCUGAAUGAAAGAAGAAAGUAGUUCGCUAAUUCUGGUCAGCAAACAAAGAGGCAUAGAAUAGUGCAGAAGUACAUGCCAGAUUUCUUUCUGAAUCAAGGAAAUCUUUGUCUUGACCUUAAAAUUGAGGAACUGGACUGAGUGUGGCAGAGAAAGGGCCAACUUGUCUCAAUUCUUGAGAAAUUUCAAAGAUUUGAGAAAAUAUAUGGCAAAGAGAACAGAUAAAGUAAUGUCUGUGCAAAAAAAAAAAAUCAAGUAGAGGG